GACGAACGCUGGCGGCGUGCUUAACACAUGCAAGUCGAACGGAGUGGCGAACGGGUGAGUAACACGUGGGUGACCUGCCCUGCCCUUCGGGAUAAGCCUGGGAAACUGGGUCCAAUACAGGCGAGUGUGGGAUGGGGCCGGGGCCUAACAGCUUGUUGGUGGGGUAAUGGCCUAGCAAGGCGGCGACGGGUAGCCGGCCUGAGAGGGUGGACGGCCACAGUGGGACGGGGGCACGGGCCAGACGCCUACGGGAGGCAGCAGUGAGGAAUAUUGCAAAAUGGGCGGAAGCCUGAUGGAGGGACGCCGCGUUGGGGAUGACGGCCUUCGGGUUGUAAACUCCUUUCACCGUCGAGGCGGUAGAUGGAGAAGAAGCACCGGCUAACUACGUGCCAGCCGCCGCGGUAAUAC
rnacentral:rRNA from 1 species